GCUGUCACCCCACCAGUAAGGUGUUACUGGUAUUGUAAGAACAAGCCAUACCCAAAGUCUCAUUUCUUUGUGGUGUCCCUGAUGCUAAGAUCCGCAUCUUUGACUUGGGAUAGAAGAAAGCGAAAGUUGAUGAAUUCCCACUUUGUGGCCAUAUGGAGUCAGAUGAAUAAGAACAGCUCUCUUCUGAAGCACUAGAGGCUGCCCGUAUUUGUGCCAACAGAUACAUGCUAAAGAGUUGCGGCAAGGAUGGCUUUCAGAUCCGAGUGAGGCUCCACCCUUUCCAUGUCAUCCGUAUCAACAAGAUGUCCAGUGCUGGGGCUGACAGGCUCCGGGUAUGCAUGGUGCCUAUGGGAAGCCCCAGGGCAGAGUGGCCAGGGUUCACAUGGCCAGGUCAUCGUGUCCAUCCACACCAAGCUGCAGGAUAAGGAACGUGAGGCUCUCUGCAGAGCCAAGUUCAAGCUCUCCAGCCAGCAGAAGUCCACAUCUCUAAGAAGCGAGGCUUCACCAGGGUUAAUGCAGAUGAAUGUGAAGGUGUGGUUGCUGAGAAGCAGCCCAUACCUGAUGGCUGUGGUGUCAAAUAUAUCCCCAGUUGUGGUUCCCAGAACAAGUGGAGAGAGCGCAC
rnacentral:lncRNA from 1 species